rnacentral:rRNA from 1 species
GACGAACGCUGGCGGCGUGCCUAAUACAUGCAAGUUGAGCGCUGAAGGUUGGUACUUGUACCAACUGGAUGAGCAGCGAACGGGUGAGUAACGCGUGGGGAAUCUGCCUUUGAGCGGGGGACAACAUUUGGAAACGAAUGCUAAUACCGCAUAAAAACUUUAAACACAAGUUUUAAGUUUGAAAGAUGCAAUUGCAUCACUCAAAGAUGAUCCCGCGUUGUAUUAGCUAGUUGGUGAGGUAAAGGCUCACCAAGGCGAUGAUUCAUAGCCGACCUGAGAGGGUGAUCUGCCACAUUGGGACUGAGACACGGCCCAAACUCCUACGGGAGGCAGCAGUAGGGAAUCUUCGGCAAUGGACGAAAGUCUGACCGAGCAACGCCGCGUGAGUGAAGAAGGGUUUCGGAUCGUAAAACUCUGUUGGUAGAGAAGAACGUUGGUGAGAGUGGAAAGCUCAUCAAGUGACGGUAACUACCCAGAAAGGGACGGCUAACUACGUG